rnacentral:rRNA from 1 species
UACGGGGGGGGCAAGCGUUGUUCGGAAUUACUGGGCGUAAAGGGCUCGUAGGCGGCCAACUAAGUCAGACGUGAAAUCCCUCGGCUCAACCGAGGAAUAGCGCUUGAUACUGAUGGACUUGAGUAGAGUCGAGGUAGGCGGAAUUGACGGUGUAGCGGUGAAAUGCUUAGAUAUCGUCAAGAACACCGAUAGUGUAGACAGCUUACUAGGCUCAAACUGACGCUGAGGCACGAAAGUGUGGGGAUCAAACAGG